CGAGGAAUGCCUAGUAAGCGCGAGUCAUCAGCUCGCGUUGACUACGUCCCUGCCCUUUGUACACACCGCCCGUCGCUCCUACCGAUUGAAUGGUCCGGUGAAGUGUUCGGAUCGCUGCGACGGGGGCGGUUCGCCGCCCCCGACGUCGCGAGAAGUCCAUUGAACCUUAUCAUUUAGAGGAAGGAGAAGUCGUAACAAGGUUUCCGUAGGUGAACCUGCGGAAGGAUCAUUG
rnacentral:ncRNA from 1 species